CAGUGUUUGGAGGCCCACAUAUUCGGAAUAUUUGUUCUUUUAUACUCAAAAGAAGGUCUUAUAAUUAAUUACAUGUAAUUUCACAGCUGCCCUGAAGGAUAGGCUUUAGUUCUCAAGAAAUACAGUCUCUAUUGUUUUAUAAGCUCUGCCUGUGGCUACUUCAGCAAUACAAGGAAAUUCUCAAUGUGUAUUUGUGUCCUUGUGUGAAAGAACCUUUUCUUUAUCUUAGAAGAGCCAUCCAGUGCUUGGAAAUGAGAAGUUAACAUUACCUGGAGAAAACACAUGAGAACAUCAGGAUUCUGGGGAGAAACAUUCUAUGUUUUCUUCUACUAAAGCUACAGGAAAGGUGUUGCGGGUAGAGAGGGGACCUUUACAUCCCAACAGAUGUUCAAAGCUAAUUGAUGACUGCAUUCCAAGAGAGACCCAGAAAUCAUCUGACAGCUAGAGUUUUCUAAAAUACACACUCUCCAAGAGGCAUUAAGAGGGGAAUAAAAAGCUUAAGCUGGCAGACUGACUAUACUGCUUUGCUUUUUAUGACGUGUCUAUCAAAAUGAAACCUCAGGGAAUGUUUAUAUAUCUGACAAGAAAUAGUUGGAGAUAGUUAGAAAUAUAAGUUUGAAAAGCCAACCUAUCAAGAAAUAGUCUUCAGAGUACAUUUUUAGGGCUCGGUGCUGAAUUUGGCUUUGGAUACCGCUGUAUUUUAUCUAGCCGAGUUUAUGAGAACGUUUAGAGCUUGAUAGCCGAAGAGUGUAAAAUACGUUAGAGAGCAUUGUCCCUGACUUCCAGA